rnacentral:tRNA from 1 species
ACGCCUUUUAUAAACCACUAACUGCCCUUCUAAGGCGUGGGUCAAAGGUUCGAAUCCUUUAGGGCGUGCCA